AUGAACGCUGGCGGCGUGCCUAAUACCUGCCAGUCGAGCGAACGGACGAGAAGCUUGCUUCUCUGAUGUUAGCGGCGGACGGGUGAGUAACACGUGGAUAACCUACCUAUAAGACUGGGAUAACUUCGGGAAACCGGAGCUAAUACCGGAUAAUAUUUUGAACCGCAUGGUUCAAAAGUAAAAGACGGUCUUGCUGUCACUUAUAGAUGGAUCCGCGCUGCAUUAGCUAGUUGGUAAGGUAACGGCUUACCAAGGCAACGAUGCAUAGCCGACCUGAGAGGGUGAUCGGCCACACUGGAACUGAGACACGGUCCAGACUCCUACGGGAGGCAGCAGUAGGGAAUCUUCCGCAAAGGGCGAAAGCCUGACGGAGCAACGCCGCGUGAGUGAUGAAGGUCUUCGGAUCGUAAAACUCUGUUAUUAGGGAAGAACAUAUGUGUAAGUAACUGUGCACAUCUUGACGGUACCUAAUCAGAAAGCCACGGCUAACUACGUG
rnacentral:rRNA from 1 species